GGUCCCGUAGCUCAGCCGGAUAGAGCAUCUGCCUUCUAAGCAGAGGGUCGCAGGUUCGAGUCCUGCCGGGAUCGCCA
rnacentral:tRNA from 1 species